ACCCAUGAUUCAGUCUAAAACCAAGCAAUUCAAGGAAGAACUCGGAGCAAAGCUUAUACACAUUUGGGGACGAACUGAGUUCUUGAGCCAGGUUGGAGAAGAUGAAUUAGAAACCUCUAUGGUUUUGAUUCAGACUCAAGAAGAUCAACAAAUGGCUAAGUGUCCCAGUUGUACACUUUUUUCCUUACCUUUGAUUUUGUCCUAAUGGGUUUUCCAAAGGAAGGUUUUUAAGGAGGCAAUGAUGAUCACUUUUACACAAGCCUACUUUGCUGGAUCAAAUCUGUUUUGAAUCACAUCUAUACAAGUCCAAGAAGACAAAAUUCGACCAAGCCCUUUGCAAAGAAGUAGAAGUGAAUUAUGGUUGAAUUACAAGCCCAAAAAUGAAAUGAAAGAGUUAGGCCCAACACCAAUUUCGACCAGAGUAGUCCAAGGGGCAUGGAUUCAGUCCAAGGGUCAUUCAAAAUCAUCAUUUAUCUCAGUCUUUGUUUGAUUUUCGAGAUGUUCUUUUAAUGUCAUGUUUAUUUUCGAGAUUGGACUUGUUUACCACAUCUCUUGUGUUCUAUUUAAGCACUUGUAAGUCCUUGGACGAAAUCAUCUAUCAUUUUUAUCAAUAAACUAUUUUGUUUUCUCUUCUCUUGUGUUCAGAGUGAUUUUCUUCAUAAGGCUUUGUUGGUGUGUCAUAUCCAGCAAGGAUUUUGAUCUCUUUGGUGUGUAAUAUCCAAAGGAUCAUUUGGUAUAUCAAAGGUCUUCCGCAGCCUUUGUGUGACCCCUCAUUUCCACAUCCCUUGAAGCAAUCUGUUGCUUGCAAGGCCUAUCCCUUUAUUUCCAGUUCUAGAGUGGCGAUCAAGGGCAGAUCCUUUCCAGGAUCACAUCAAGUGGUAUCAGAGCAAACACUCUACUCACUGGAUUUCGUUUUUCAUCAGGUUAUAUCUAUCCUUUUCAUUUCAGUUCAUUUUUAUCUGUUUAUCUUGUCUAUUUCGUGUCUAUAUCUAUCAGAGAAAACCCAGAAAAAGUUUUGCUGUUCUUAUUUUCGAUUUUUAUCUAAACCCAGUAAAGAAAACCACAAAAACAAAAAACGUUUUUGAAUCUUUGUUUGUGUCUGUUUUGGUUAGAUUCGUUUAGAUCUGUUCAUUUGCAUCAUCAUCUAAUUCUGUUAUCACUGGAUCGUCAUAGAAUCUCACCCUUGUUCAUUUGUGUCUGUUCAUCUUCUCUGUAGAAAAAUCUGAAAGUUUCUAAGUUUUUUUCUAAGGAUCAGAUUGUGUCUUUUCGUCUUCUGUGUCUAGACUAUUCUCUUUUUGAUUGUGAGGAACUUGUUACUGGUGACUUGUUUUCUUUGUGGUUUCAGGUUAAGAUGUCUUAGCCAGAAGAAGAGACCGGCAACACCUGCGACAACAAACUGUUGCUAGAAGUCUUGACAGCCCAGAUGAAGGAGAUGAUGGACGCUAAAUUAGAAGAGCUUCGUCAAAGAAAUGAAACAAAGGAGGGCACAUGAAGGAGCUCCUAAGAAAGACAGAGACAAACCGAGACAGCUUAGAUACAAAGGGGCAGAAGGUUAUGACCAUCGUGAUCAUAACUUGUUUCAAGAAGGCCAGAGGAGAUCUAGACGUGCACGAGAAGGCAGCGGUCAACUUAAUGGUGAAAUUAUUUCAUUCCAUGGGAAAAAUGAUCCAGACACCUAUCUGGAGUGGGAGAAGAAGCAAGAACUCGUUUUCAGUUAUCAGCAUUAUUCAGGGAACAAUAAGGUGCGAGUUGCAGUUGCUAGUUUCUAUGAUUAUGCCCUGAGUUGGUGGGAGCAGUUGAAGAUCUCAAGGAGACGCAAUGGAGAGAAACCAGUGGAGGCAUGGGAAGAAUUGAAAGCUAUCAUGAGAAAAAGAUAUGUCCCAAAGCUUCAAAUCAAUCGCUCUAGAAUACAAGACCAUGUUUUCAAAACCGGUGGAGAACUUGUAAUUGGUAAAGCGAAGGUUAUGAGCACCAGAUCAGCAGAGGGAGGACUAAUCACACAUGAGAAAGAUUCUGGUCGAGCCAGAAUUCCAUUUGCUCCAUCCCAAAUCCAAGGAGUUGAAGACAGACCACCCAAAAGUCAAGGAGCGCCGAAACUGACAUCAUUGGAACAAAGUCCAGAGUUAGCUAAGAUAAGUGUUGGUCCAUCUCAAUCAAUUUCUGAGAAUUUUAAUUCUAGUAUCAUACACUUGUCUUUGCCAAAAGAAAUUGAUGCAGGUUCAGAUUCUAGAGAAGAGCAAAGACAAAAAGAUGAUCUCAUCAAGGUCAAGGAGCAGAAACAAAAUAAAGAGGUUUGCAAGGAAAUAACCUGUGAGAACAAACCUGUUAGUUAUUCAAACGCCCUUGUAAGGAAUGGUGAGGACAAGAGAACUUUGUCUUCAAAAUGACCGGUGCCUAGAUUUGUUUAUAAAGAAACUCUUAAGAGUUUAACUAACCCUGUACCGGUGCUGCCGAGUAAUAUAACUUCUAUUUUGCAGGAAUUUGAAGACAACAACCCUGGAGGAUUACCACAAAUCUUUGGACUUGAACACCAAUGUGUUUUUAAACCAGGAGCACCCAGAGAGACCACUCUUUAUGUCAUACAGAGCCUAAAAGGUAAGGAACUCGUUGUGACCAAUGCAAUGAGUCAAAGGUAUGAAAUUCUAGCUGUUCCUGAAGUUAAGCUGCUAGAUUUUGAGCACACCAAUGAGUUUUACGAAUCUGGUGAUUUAAAUGUUGUGUUUCAAUCUUGUGAGAUGUCUGCAUAUGGAAAGUUCUUUGGAACUAAAAGUUUUAUGUUUGAUAAAGCUAAACCGUGUGAGCAUCACUGUUUGUUGAAAAAUUAUGUGUUAGUAUUUGAUAGACUCUCUAAGAUAAAUCACUGCAUUUUUCCUCUUGAAAAUAAAGAGGGUUUGCAAGUUCUGAAUUCAUUCAUUUAGAGUUUUAAUACUGUCUACAUGCUGGACUAUGGUGAAUUCUUUGAUGAAUAUGCAGGACUUGUUUUUGAUGCUCUAAAAGAGAAACUAUUUGCUAAAUCAGAGAAGUAUGUCUCUUGCACGUAUGAUCUUGUGUUUGGAGUCUUUGUUGUACCUUCACAGGUUAAACAGGUUGGUGACAAGAAGAAACAUGGAUCCAAAACGUGGUGGUUUUACUUGUGGCUAAAGAAGUUUACUGUUCGAUUUGUUUUCGAACCAUGGAAACAUCUGGGAACUGAUCAAUAUCAAAAUGGAGCAAACAGGAGGCAAUGCAGAAUGAUCUUUGAGCCUGGAGGAAGUUUGUGGAUUCAAAUAAGGAAUGGACGUCUUCUAACACAAACAAAGAUCAAGCUGAUUCCAAGAAGCAAUCAUGCAUUUCAAAUAUUUGAGCCGAUCAAAUUCAAAGCUUAUACGAAAAGCUUGCAAGGUAAGUAUAUUCUGAGUUUCACUUUCAGCUUUUCUAACUUAAUAUUUUUCGUUGCAGAUGAACCAGAUUUGAAGACAAAUCCUUUUCAAGUGGAGGGGGAUGAUGUGAUCAUGGCUAGCACUAAGGAGAUGAAGCUUGAACCAGAGCUUGUAGCUGAGUUUGUACCAGUUAGACCCAUGAUUCAGUCUAAAACCAAGCAAUUCAAGGAAGAACUCGGAGCAAAUCUUAUACACAUUUGGGGAUGAACUGAGUUCUUGAGCCAGGUUGGAGAAGAUGAAUUAGAAACCUCUAUGGUUUUGAUUCAGGCUCAAGAAGAUCAACAAAUGGCUAAGUGUCCCAGUUGUACUCUUUUUUCCUUACCUUUGGUUUUGUCCCAAUGGGUUUUCCAAAGGAAGAUUUUUAAGGAA
rnacentral:lncRNA from 1 species